UACAUUUUAGUAUAUGAGGUACAUUAGCUUUUGAUGCUUAAAGAAAUAGUUUAAUUCUAUUAAAUGUUU
rnacentral:tRNA from 1 species